UACGUAGGGUGCGAGCGUUAAUCGGAAUUACUGGGCGUAAAGCGUGCGCAGGCGGUUUCGUAAGACAGACGUGAAAUCCCCGGGCUCAACCUGGGAACUGCGUUUGUGACUGCGAGGCUAGAGUAUGGCAGAGGGGGGUGGAAUUCCACGUGUAGCAGUGAAAUGCGUAGAGAUCGGAAAGAACACCAACGGCGAAGGCACUCUGCUGGGCCGACACUGACACUGAGAGACGAAAGCUAGGGGAGCAAAUGGG
rnacentral:rRNA from 1 species